rnacentral:rRNA from 1 species
GUAGGUGGCAAGCGUUGUCCGGAAUUAUUGGGCGUAAAGCGCGCGCAGGCGGUUCGUUUAAGUCUGAUGUGAAAGCCCACGGGCUCAACCGUGGAGGGUCAUUGGAAACUGGAGAACUUGAGUACAGAAGAGGAAAGCGGAAUUCCACGUGUAGCGGUGAAAUGCGUAGAGGUGUGGAGGAACACCAGUGGCGAAGGCGGCUUUCUGGUCUGUAACUGACGCUGAGGCGCGAAAGCGUGGGGAGCAAACAGGAUUAGAUACCCUGGUAGUCCACGCCGUAAACGAUGAGUGCUAAGUGUUAGGGGGUUUCCGCCCCUUAGUGCUGCAGCUAACGCAUUAAGCACUCCGCCUGGGGAGUACGGCCGCAAAGGCUGA